rnacentral:rRNA from 1 species
GAGUUUGAUCCUGGCUCAGAUUGAACGCUGGCGGCAGGCCUAACACAUGCAAGUCGAGCGGUAGAGAGAAGCUUGCUUCUCUUGAGAGCGGCGGACGGGUGAGUAAUGCCUAGGAAUCUGCCUGGUAGUGGGGGAUAACGCUCGGAAACGGACGCUAAUACCGCAUACGUCCUACGGGAGAAAGCAGGGGACCUUCGGGCCUUGCGCUAUCAGAUGAGCCUAGGUCGGAUUAGCUAGUUGGUGAGGUAAUGGCUCACCAAGGCGACGAUCCGUAACUGGUCUGAGAGGAUGAUCAGUCACACUGGAACUGAGACACGGUCCAGACUCCUACGGGAGGCAGCAGUGGGGAAUAUUGGACAAUGGGCGAAAGCCUGAUCCAGCCAUGCCGCGUGUGUGAAGAAGGUCUUCGGAUUGUAAAGCACUUUAAGUUGGGAGAAGGCAGUAAAUUAAUACUUUGCUGUUUUGACGUUACCGACAGAAUAAGCACCGGCUAACUCUGUGCCAGCCGCC